rnacentral:lncRNA from 1 species
CGAUGUUGAUCGAUGGCACAACACUUUGUUUUUGGGACGGUACACUGGUAAUCAAUAUUCUUCCAUAUCAAGUUUCUUGGAUUUUACUGACAUAGAAAAUUAGUUGAACAGAAGAUUUGAUAUACUUUCCUGUAGAUCGAACAUGUGGACCCACCUGAUCUUGAGGAUUAAUGAAUUAAGUGUGCACUUUUUUCUCUUCUACAUCUAGAUGGUAAUUUUGAUUUUUUGGAAUUAUUGUACCUGAAUAUACUUAAUAAAGAUUCAUAUAUUGUAUCAGUCUGAAGUUAUUUGGUCUACUCAUUUACGUGUGUAUGCGGAAGUUUACAUAGCAGUUUUUUUAUUCUUAUCUUCCUUUUGCUCACUUUGUACUAUCUUUGUUCAGGUUUAAGAAGAUAAAUAAAACAGAACAAUAAGAGACGGCAAAGUUUCAGCUCACCUUCACAUGUAAAUUAACUUUUGCCUUUUCAAUAUUAUGGAUGUCAGUGAGCUUUCAAGGGAGAGAAAAGCAGACUAGUUAUGUUUCUUCAAAUAUAUUUUUCCAGAGC